CAUGCCCCCUUUUUUGGCAUAUUCGCCACUUUUUGCAGUUCUGUUUACGUGAUUUGCAUUAGUGGUACAACCUUUUACCCUGCCCAUUGAUUUCCUGCUUCACUGGGCACUGCUAGUAGGUCUCGAUUUACUUGACAGAUGUAAGCAUACAUUAGAGGGAGAUUAGCAUAGGGUAUGUCCUUUAUUGUAGCUGCAUCCUAUGAGUUCCCUCCAACACCAUUUCCACCAGAUACAUGACACUUGUGCAGCAUAAGUGUUUUUGUGUUUUUUGUUAAUAAGGUUCUGUAAUU